AGAGUUUGAUCCUGGCUCAGGAUGAACGCUGGCGGCGUGCCUAACACAUGCAAGCCGAGCGAUCCUCUUCGGAGAAGAGCGGCGGACGGGUGAGUAACGCGUGGGUAACCUGCCCUGUACACACGGAUAACAUACCGAAAGGUAUGCUAAUACGGGAUAAUAUGAGAGAGUCGCAUGGCUUUCUUAUCAAAGCUCCGGCGGUACAGGAUGGACCCGCGUCUGAUUAGCUAGUUGGUGAGGUAAUGGCUCACCAAGGCGACGAUCAGUAGCCGACCUGAG
rnacentral:rRNA from 1 species